CAAAACGUACGCCCAACAGGAAGCUGCCUGCAAUUUCAGGUAGCUUUUCUGACUCUUGAAAAGAUCUUGAGUAUACUUUCAGAGAAAUGCCAGCAAAAACUGUAGUCAUUUGGGAAGGAACAAUUCUGGAAGGAAGAGAUACAGCGAACUAGCACAAAGAGGUUUGAAAGGUUCGUGACAGCUCACAGCUCAUGAUGGUGCCAAUCUUGAGGAUAGAGAAAACUCAUUCCUCAUGCAGGGAAGAAGAAAAUAUUCUAAAAAAGUGAUAAGCAUAUUCCAUGAAAUCAAGAAAGGCUAGAAACCCACCAACUGCUAACAACCAGUUGGAGGGUAAGUCAAAAGCUAUGAGAGCCUAGAAGGAGAACAAUUAUUUAGAGUAGCUGGGAAAGUCUUUGAAGGGUCUUCAGAAAAUGGUCCAAAAGGAAAGAGGAAAAGUCAUUCUACUGAGAGGAGUUUGUGUAAUCAAAGCAACCGAGCCUUAAGAACUCACACAAGAUUAGAAAAGGGUGAAGGAUGCUUGGAAAGCUGGACUAGGAAAAGGCUGUGAAGGGCCCUGAAUGUCACAUGUCACAUGUUGCCUACAGCAUGCAGAAUCAAAACAUGAUGAAUCAUGUCUUGAAUCAUGACAUGAAUCAUGACACACGAAUCAUAACAUGUGACAUGUUGAAUGUCACAUGUCACAUGCGAUAGGCAGCCAUCAAGAGUAUUUGAAAGGAAAGUAUAUAAUCGGGCCUGUGCUUUAAUAAGAUAAUUUAUAUAGUAUUCAGUGUGGAUUCAAAUGGAGAAUAUAGGUACUAGUUUUGACAUCGACAGUAUAGGAAACCAUUUAGGUUUCUCGUACACCAAAAUAUUAAAACAUACACCCAAACACAACAAUACAUUAAAAUUUUGAGAGAGAAGAGCCAAAAGUUAUUUGUCACUGGACUAAAAGUGGAAAUAAAUGUUUACAACCUCUAAGGUAGACUAGAGGAGUUGUUAGCAAAACUGCCACAUAAAAUUUCAGAUAUGCAAAGAAAUGCAAUUGUAGACUUAUGCACAUAUUUCCACAAGAGAAUAGAGUCUGGGCAGAAUGGGAGAAGUAAAAAACGUGUUCAAAGCUUAGGAAGUGCCUUGCUCUUCACCAAGAGGAGCCAACAGCAUUUUCUUUGAAUCAACUCUCAUAUUCCCUUACAGAGAAGUUGAUAGUGUUGUAGAAAACUCACCUAUUGAAGUGACAACAAAAACAGCAACCCAAUAUGAGUAAACUGGUAUUAUGAUUAAAGGGACAAGUAACUGCACUUUUGACACAUACCCUCUAAAAGGUUGGUUAGGAGUGUUUCAAAGAAUCAAGUCUGAGUAAUAGAAAAGAGUAUACCACUUCCCCUUCAUACACUUUUGAGCAUGGGGGAACUGGGGGCUGGGUAAUUGACAAUUGACUGGGUAAUUGUCACACGGGACAUUCUCCCACUAUACACCAUUUCUUUGGGAUCUCUCCCAAAAUUCUUCUUCUAAGUGACACAUCCCUGUAUUGAUCAUCUUUCCCCAUACUGAUCUUCCUCAGCAAUCAUGUGAGUUAUUAGUCUUACUAUUUGUUUUUCUUAAAUAUGGUCUUUUAACCACUCAAAUAUUUUGUAUAAACAUAGUUUGUUUUCCCAAUUUAACUGGAAGCAUUUUUCAAAAUGGGAAUCUGUGUGUAUAUUUCUGUAAUUUUUUUGUCAUGCCUUAUGUGGUAUAUAAAAAUCAACAGCAAUAAAACAACAACAGUAAUAAUACCUAAGACUUUUUGAAUGCUAACCAUAUAUUCAGCAUUAUUUCAAUUCCUUUACAUGUACCAACUGAUUUAAUUAUUACGAUAACUGCAUGAAGUGGAUAUAGUGUUGUCAUCAGUUUACACUUGAGGAAACUGAGUUAUGGGGAGGUUAAUUAUCUUUGCCAUAGUCACAGAGUCAUUAAGUGUAUGAUCUGAGACAGUCUGACACCUGAGCUAUGCUUCACUGUACCUGUUAAGAUAUUCUUUUUCUUGAAUUCAAAUUCUAAAAGAAAAACGGAGUUGAUAUUUAUAAAUUCAAUGCUAUCCCCAUCAA